CCCAAUUGACCAGUGACCUUGUUCGUGACGCAGUUCGCUAGCUAGUCAAAGGAAACUAGUUUGUUGUUUUUAGUAUUAGAAGAUAUUAUUUCGCUUUUCACAGAAGCUGAUUUGUGCUUUGAGUAGAGUGCAGCUAAGAUGGCAGCUUAUCCAAGUGCCCCUCCUCCGUCCUACGACCAGGCAGCAGUCGGUUACACAAACCCACAGGAAGCCGGUUACAAAAACCCACAGGCAGCAGCUUACGCAAACCAACCGUUUGCCGAACAGGGCUACAAGCAAGAUCCAGCUUAUCCACCCCCACAGCCAGCAAUGCCACAACCAUACACCCAAGGUUACGCCCCACCUUUUGUAGCGGGCGCUGCCCCUCCUGCUCAAGUGCCAAUGGAAGAGCCAGGAGUGCAAGAGCCGGCCUUCAAAAGCAAUUCAUUUUCCGAUAAAGCUGUCAGGCGAUCAUUUAUCAAAAAGGUCUACUUGAUCCUUAUGCUGCAGCUUCUUGUCACGGUCGGCUUCAUUUGUCUCUUCAUGUUCAUAAAACCGCUGAAACACUGGAUACAGCGAGAUGGCUCCUGGCUCUACUAUGUGUCGCUUGGCACAUUUUUUGUGACCUACUUUGUCCUUGUCUGCAUUCCAAGUGUUCGCCGAAAGACGCCUGGAAAUUACAUCUGCCUUGCAGUUUUUACUCUUGCCUUCUCCUUCGUGACUGGGAACAUUGCCAGUUUCUACACGACGAAUAGUGUGCUGGUUGCAGCUGGAGUUACGGCCCUUGUUUGUCUCUCCAUCUCCUUGUUUGCCAUUCAGACCAAAAUUGAUUUCACGAUGUGCAGUGGACUUCUCUUCGUUCUAGUGAUGGUCCUCUUCUUUUUCGGCUGGUCGUCUCUGAUUGUCUACCACACGGCUGGGUACAACGCGAUUCUUGAUGCAGUGUAUGGUGGACUAGCAGCCCUUCUUUUCGGUCUGUUUCUGGUGUACGACACCCAGAUGAUUGUGGGAGGCCGGAAGAUUGAACUGUCUCCCGAGGAGUACAUCUCCGGAGCUCUCCAGCUGUACAUGGACGUUGUCUUACUUUUCCUCAUCAUCCUGUCCUGCUUUGGCAAGAGCAGCUAAUUUCAGGAUAUAAGCUGGCUUUUAACUACGUGAAGGCAAAGAGAUUUGUGGAUGCAGUUGAUAUAUGUCACCAUGUUUUAUCAAGCCACCCAAACUAUCCUAAAAUAAGAAAAGACAUUCUGGAAAAGGCCCGAUUAAGUCUGCGUGUGUGAAGAAGCUGAACAUGCUGUCAAAUUCUCAGGGCUCGAACUUAACGAUGGCACUGACAGCUAUUGCCGUAGUUGUGAUAUGAAAUACCAUCAGUAGCAGUUGACCGAUGACAUUUUAAAAACAUUUUUGCCGAUGGAUAAAAAUUAUUGCCGUCAGUUCAAGAGACUAUUUUUUGUUUUUAUAUUUGUUUCCAAAGUUACUAGCUUAUAAUUACCAUAGACAGGCUCAAAAUUGCUGUUGGUGAAUAUUUUGUCUACGGCAAAAAGAUUUCACAAUUGCUGUAGGUAACAAAAAUGUUUAUGUUCGAGCCAGAUAUUUUUGUCUGUGAUAUAAAACAUUACAAUAUUGUGAUUAUCAAUACUGUGAUGGUUGACAUGUGCCAGAAACUUGGAGUAUUUUGUACAUUGUAGGCCUAAAUAUGCAUGGAUAUACAUUUCAAAGCAAAUACCAUUCAAAUACAUUACAGGGCUAGCUAUAGCUAUUGUCAGAUUCACUAUUUGCAAAUACAUGUAUUGGAAACACUUGGUGAAUUUUAUUUUAAUUUGAUGGAAAACUGGAGAUGCAUAGUUUUUAAGAGUUCAGAGAUAGGCAGCGAAGCGCACGCUUCUUACAAUAUUAAGCGAAAUUAACCAACUGCAAUGCUGCAACCAGUUGCAAUGCAGUUUCAAAUUUGAACUGUUAUAUAUUAAUUUCGAAAACUCGAACUCCCUGAAACUCGAACUAUUUUCUCAUUCCCUUCAAGAUCGAGCUAUCGAAGUGUGACUGUACAUGUAUUGGAAACACUUGGUGAAUUUUAUUUUAAUUUGAUGAAGAAAAAAAAGCUGUACUAAUUGAUAUUUUGUUAAAAAAUAAAUAUUGUUCAUUCUGAAUAAUAACAGAUUUACAGUACAAAAGACAUCUUUAUGCUGGCUGAUGCAAGUAGUCAUGAAGUAAGUUAAAUAUGUAUAUAACUAUAAAUUUAUUUCAACAAAAUGUGUGAUAAUAUUGAUGAGAAAUGUACUGAUGUGAUCUUGACCAUGCCUGCUAUAUUAAAUUGGUUCUGAAGAAACGUAACUGUAAACUGAGAUGUAGGUGAAAGUUUCCGUUAAAAUACCAUGACUACUAGUACUAUAGGAAAACUUUUUCUCUCAUCUUCAGGUAUAUGGGACAGAGCUAUCCCAUGAAAGAAAGCUAUGUAGGAAAUUUCUAUCUUACAUGGGAUACAACGCACACUUGUUUAACAUGACGUCGUUGGUCAUAUAUGACGUCAUAUUAGUGCGAGG